rnacentral:rRNA from 1 species
GAUGAACGCUGGCGGCGUGCCUAAUACAUGCAAGUCGAGCGAACAGACGAGGAGCUUGCUCCUCUGACGUUAGCGGCGGACGGGUGAGUAACACGUGGAUAACCUACCUAUAAGACUGGGAUAACUUCGGGAAACCGGAGCUAAUACCGGAUAAUAUAUUGAACCGCAUGGUUCAAUAGUGAAAGACGGUUUUGCUGUCACUUAUAGAUGGAACCGCGCUGCAUUAGCUAGUUGGUAAGGUAACGGCUUACCAAGGCAACGAUGCGUAGCCGACCUGAGAGGGUGAUCGGCCACACUGGAACUGAGACACGGUCCAGACUCCUACGGGAGGCAGCAGUAGGGAAUCUUCCGCAAUGGGCGAAAGCCUGACGGAGCAACGCCGCGUGAGUGAUGAAGGUCUUCGGAUCGUAAAACUCUGUUAUUAGGGAAGAACAAAUGUGUAAGUAACUAUGCACGUCUUGACGGUACCUAAUCAGAAAGCCACGGCUAACUACGUG